UACGUAGGGUGCGAGCGUUAAUCGGAAUUACUGGGCGUAAAGCGUGCGCAGGCGGUUUUGUAAGCCGGAUGUGAAAUCCCCGGGCUUAACCUGGGAAUGGCAUUCGGGACUGCAAGGCUGGAGUGCGGCAGAGGAGACUGGAAUUCCUGGUGUAGCAGUGAAAUGCGUAGAUAUCAGGAGGAACACCGAUGGCGAAGGCAGGUCUCUGGGCUGAAACUGACGCUCAUGCACGAAAGCGUGGGGAGCAAACAGG
rnacentral:rRNA from 1 species